GGGCCAAGGGCACAAAUGUUAAAAUUGGAAAAAUACAGAGAAGAUUAGCAUGGCCCCUGCGCCA
rnacentral:snRNA from 1 species